rnacentral:rRNA from 1 species
GACGAACGCUGGCGGCGUGCCUAACACAUGCAAGUCGAGCGGGGAGAGAUUUUCGGAUUUCUCUUUAGCGGCGGACGGGUGAGUAACACGUGGGUAACCUGCCUCAAAGAGGGGGAUAGCCUUCCGAAAGGAAGAUUAAUACCGCAUAAUAUCAGGAAGCUGCAUGGCAUUCUGAUUAAAGGAGCAAUCCGCUUUGAGAUGGACCCGCGGCGCAUUAGCUAGUUGGUGAGGUAACGGCCCACCAAGGCGACGAUGCGUAGCCGACCUGAGAGGGUGAUCGGCCACAUUGGAACUGAGACACAGUCCAGACUACUACGGGAGGCAGCAGUGGGGAAGAUUGCACAAUGGGGGAAACCCUGAUGCAGGAACGCCGCGUGAGUGAUGAAGGCCUUCGGGUCGUAAAGCUCUUUGAUCAGGGACGAUAAUGACGGUACCUGAAAAACAAGCCACGGCUAACUACGUGCCAGCCGCCGCCGUAAUAC